GUAGGGUGCAAGCGUUAUCCGGAAUCAUUGGGCGUAAAGAGCUCGUAGGCGGUUCAGCAAGUCGGCUGUGAAAUCCCGAGGCUUAACCUCGGAACUGCAGUCGAUACUGCUGUGACUAGAGUCCGGUAGAGGAGAAUGGAAUUCCCGGUGUAGCGGUGAAAUGCGCAGAUAUCGGGAGGAACACCAGUAGCGAAGGCGGUUCUCUGGGCCGGUACUGACGCUGAGGAGCGAAAGCGUGGGGUAGCAGACAGGAUUAGAUACCCUGGUAGUCCACGCCGUAAACGUUGGACACUAGGUGUGGCGUUCCGACCAACGGGUGCCGUGCCGAAGCUAACGCAUUAAGUGUCCCCGCCUGGGAGUACGGCCGCAAGGCUA
rnacentral:rRNA from 1 species